rnacentral:rRNA from 1 species
UACGGGGGGGGCAAGCGUUGUUCGGAAUUACUGGGCGUAAAGGGCGCGUAGGCGGCCUUCUAAGUCGGACGUGAAAUCCCUCGGCUUAACCGAGGAACUGCGUCCGAUACUGAAAGGCUUGAAUCCGGGAGAGGGAUGUGGAAUUCCAGGUGUAGCGGUGAAAUGCGUAGAUAUCUGGAGGAACACCGGUGGCGAAGGCGGCAUCCUGGACCGGCAUUGACGCUGAGGCGCGAAAAGCUAGGGGAGCAAACGGG